rnacentral:rRNA from 1 species
UACGUAGGGUGCGAGCGUUAAUCGGAAUUACUGGGCGUAAAGCGUGCGCAGGCGGCGCGUUAAGACAGGUGUGAAAGCCCCGAGCUUAACUUGGGAAUUGCGCUUGUGACUGGCGUGCUGGAGUGUGGCAGAGGGAGGUGGAAUUCCACGUGUAGCAGUGAAAUGCGUAGAGAUCGGGUGGAACACCAGGGGCGAAGGCGGCAUCCUGGCUCUGUACUGACGCUGAGGCGCGAGAGCGUGGGGAGCAAACCGG